rnacentral:rRNA from 1 species
ACUCAAUAGAUACCCAGGUAGUCCACGCCGUAAACUAUGGAUGCUAGCUGUUAUCGGUAUCGACCCCGGUAGUAGCGAAAGCUAACGCGUUAAGCAUCCCGCCUGUGGAGUACGAGCGCAAGCUUAAAACAUAAAGGAAUUGACGGGGACCCGCACAAGCGGUGGAGCGUGUUGUUUAAUUCGACGGUAAACGAAGAACCUUACCCAGGCUUGACAUCCUGCUAAGAUUUCCGAAAGGAAAUUGUGCCUUCGGGCCGCAGUGACAGGUGCUGCAUGGUCGUCGUCAGCUCGUGUCGUGAGAUGUUUGGUUAAGUCCAUCAACGAGCGCAACCCUUAUAGUCAGUUGGAUUUUUCUGGCUAGACUGCCCCGGUAACGGGGAGGAGGGAGGGGAUGAUGUCAGAUCAUUAUUGCCCUUACGUCUGGGGCUACAAACACGCUACAAUGGCCGGUACAUAGGGCGAGCCAACCCGCGAGGGGAGCAAAUCCCAUCAAAGCCGGUCUCAGUUCGGAUUGUAGGCUGAAACUCGCCUGCAUGAAG